GCUGGGGGUGAGAGUUCCAGCUUGGUUGAGACUGGACCCUGCAGGAUUUAGCUCUCCCGGUCAGGCCAGAUGGGGAACCAACCACCAGCAGAGGUGGAUGGUGGCUGCCCAGGCCUUGAUGUGGGCGCAGAAAUCAGUGAGCAGACAUUGAUCUGGAUGCGAGCCUCCAGAUGUGGCGUCUCAAGACGGAGCCUCGGUGGUCAGUCCAGGAGGGUCCCUUCUUAGGAUACCCUAAAUAUCCUCAGAGGAGCGUGAGGCCUCAGGGCUCAGAGUGUCCAGCAGCCAGAACGAGGACCUCUCUCCACCGCUGAAAUAAUCUGAAUUGGUGUAUAAGGGUUAGAUCUGCAGGGCCCAGAGCUGGCAAAACUUGGUUAUACAGAAAAGGGAAGCAAGAUUAAAGGCUUGCGACAUUCCCCCACACUCAUGUAUGCGGAGUGACUUAAUCCACUGGCAAUUCCACACCCUAGGUCUUAUGUUUAUUUUCGUUUUAUACGCAAAGGAAAUGAUGCACAGAAAUGUUUAGCAACCGGCCCAAGUCACACAGCAACAGGGAGGCAGAACUGGGCUUUGAUCCCAGGCAGAACAGCAAGAAGACCUGUGUUCGCUCUCUGGUCCUGGGGAGGCUCUAUGCUGGGAAGCAGCCAAGAGCUUGGAUGUUUGGGUCCGAGCGCUCUGGCUUCAUCCCCGGGGGGGGGGGGGGGCUCUUCCUUCCAACUGCGAGAUGUCAGGUGGGUUCCAGUCUCCUUAGUUGAGUGUGAAAGAGACCCACUCUACCUUCCUAGGACACGGAGGUGUUUACACAAGCUGAUGAUGUCACGGGCACGCAGGAAAGCACUCACCCCCACACGGACUCUACGUGGCUUCUUUACAGGAACUUCUGCUGCCCGGUCCUGCGCCUCAAAGGAUGAUGCAUGUGACUAAAUCAGUAGAGAUUUCACUGGAAAUUCCCCCAGGCCACUCAAGCCUCAUCCGGCCUCGGGCAGGAGUCCUGCAUCCAGCUUGUGGCGCCGUGGGAACCCCGUGAGAGAGAGCGUUCUGCUUGUUGCUUUCUUGCCAGCUCAGCCCAAACCCUUCCAGUGCGUCAGGCCGUCCCUGCUCUCUUUGCUGAGGGUAAGGGGUGGGGUUGCAGCUGGCAACCUGCUGCGCCUGCGCAGUCCUGCCAGGGUCUGAUUCUGUAAGCUCUUGAUACCAGGCCCCAGAGGCGGUGGGCCUGGCAGGGGAAGGCUGAAGUUAUCCCGUCAAAGAGCGCCAGGCCUCUGGAGAACCACCGUGGAGAGCAGGAAGCAGGCCCUUGAGGAGAGGCCUGAGUAGGGGAGGAUGCCCGGCACCCUGGGAGACUUAUCGUCAAGGACUUGGCACAAAAGUAAUAAAGACAGGCAGGACUGUCAUCUGAUGAACUGUCUUGACUGAUUUGGCAACUGGGGAGAGUGAAUUAAUCAUGUUUUUAUUUUUGGAUGCUUUUACAUCAUGGGUAUUGAAGUCAGGAGUGUCACCUGAUGAGAAGACCUUUGAGUCACCCCCUCGGUGGAGGACUGAGCAUUUAGAACAUUGAUGCUGCCCUCUGAGUGAGUGAGUGAGGAUUAAGCCUUCAUUGGAGGUUUCUUUUCUUUGUCCUAGCAAUUGGUCCAUUCUGACAGUGACAAUUGCUGGCUCUAAGCAGGCAGAAGCCUUUGGGGUAGCUGAUGUAAUACAUGUGUGUAAUGACAGGAUGUCCAGUGGUUUGAACCCUGGCCAGGUCAAGUCUGAUGUGAGAACAGGGAGGGAGAAGUAAAGGCCGGAGUCUGGCCGUCUGAGAUGCUAUUGUCAGGAAGACACUCCUGACACACAGGGAGGAAGAGAGCUGAAGGGCCUUGACGGUGCACGCACCACCAACCCUGAGACCAGGCUCAGCGGACCCUCAGAGGGAACUCAGAAGAGAGAAACUGAACUCCGGGCAUGGUGGUACACGCCUUUGAUCUGGGCAUGUGAGCCCCAGGAGGCUGAGGCAGGAGGAUCAAGAGUCUGAUGGGCAGUUGGGGUUAUAUACUGAGACCUUGGAGAGAGGGAAGGAGGAAAGGGAAGAUAGAUAGAUAGAUAGAUAGAUAGAUAGAUAGAUAGAUAGAUAGAUAGAUAGAACACAUAGGAAGUAAUACUUCACAGUGACUUCUGAGCCAUCCAUCCAUCCAUCCACCCAUCCAUCCACCCAUCCAUCCAUCCAUCCAUCCAGGAAACAACCAGCUGAGCGACUUCAGGUCGGAUCAGGGGUCCCUUAGCCAAUGCUCUGCCACCAAGAGUGCCUGAGAUAAACAGCUUACAAGGAGGAAGUGUUGGCUUUGGCUUUGGCUCUCUUGGCCCCUGCUGCUUUGACCCGUAUGACAGGAACACCCCACAGAGCAAACAUGCUCAUCUCGUGGCAGCCAAGAGAAGAGAGCGAUGGGGUGGGGUGGGGAGGAAGGAGAGGAAGACCAGAAGCUCUUCCUAGGUCAUACCUCAGCUGACCUAACUGUCCCACAGGCCCUGCUGCCUGGAGGUUCCACUGCCUCUCUGUGGCCUGUAGGCCAGCAAUCAAUCCUUUUACACCUAGGCUUGUGGGGAUGUUUAAGAGCCAGGGGCCAUAUGGCAAGGGGCUGUGAAGGGGCUGACAAAUGUGUAAUCAAGGGAUUCUGCUUUGCCAGGAAGCAGGGCGAAGAGUCCUCUCCCAGGACCCAGGGAAAGGAAAGGGGAGACCUAGAGCGGUGUGGAGGAGAGCUCAAGCUUGGGAGACAGAGAAGGGAACGUUCAGCCUUCUAGGCAGAGGGGACAACUCGUGCAAAGGCCCUGUGGCUGCUGGGCUGUUCGUGCUGGAGCAACUGAACAGAGUGAGGGAAGAAGGAAGCCAGGAAAAGUGGGGGUGACGUGAGGCGGGGAGAAAGAGGCUGGGUCAUUAACUGUCAACUUGUCUCGAUGCAGAGUCACCUAGGAAGUCUCCGUAGGAAUGUUCUAGAUCAGGUUGGCCUGUGGGCAUGUCCAUGAGGGAUUACUUUGAUGAUGGUAAUUGAUGUGGGGAUACCCAGGCCACUGUAGGUGGUACCACCUGGGCAGAAGGUACUGGACUUUGUAUGUGUAGAACAAGCUAAGCACUAAGUUUGUACUUAUGCUCUGCUCUUGGCUGUGGGUGUAACCAGCUGCUUCAGGUUCCUAUCUGGACUUCCCCUCAAUGACACACUGCAGCCUAAAUUUCUAUCAGGGCAUUUUAGCAUAGCAACAGGAAGUGACCUAGAACCCUGCUUCCUGCUCUGUUUUAAAGGCCCCACCUCCACCUUCCACACUGGGGGAGUUCUGUGGGUAGACUCGUCCCAGGUGGGUGGUGUCUGCUUGAAGCUGACAAAGUCCACCUUCUCCAACACCCCCCCCCCCCCCCCCCGAGGACAGUGGACUCAGACACAGGACCAAGCUCCCUGAUUCUGCAGGCCGCCAGCGUGUGCAGUAUCAACUUCCGAGACUGAGAACUGGCAAAGGGAUUCUUGGAGCUGGCUGGGUGCUGGGCCACAGAGUAUACCUAAGGUACCGUGACCUAGGGCAGAGGUUCUCAACCUGUGGGUCACGACCCCCUUGACAAACCUCUAUCUCCAAACAUAUUUACAUUACAAUCAUAACAGUAGCAAAAUUAUAGUUAUGAGGUGGCAACGAAAAUAACUUUAUGAUUGGGAGGUCACCACAGCAUGAGGAACUGUAAUAAAGGGUUGCAUUAUUGGGAAGGUGGAGAACCACUGACCUGGUGGGUCAGUACGUGGGUGAACCCGGGUUGCCCAGCAUCUGUCUCCAGAGGAAGAAUUCUGAAUGCAAGUAAGUCUUGGGUCGAAGGUGGAAGGCUUCAUGUCAGUCCCGUCAGUCUUGGAGGUGUGGCUGCUGGGGGCCACCCGUGAUGUCUGCAGCUUUAAUAUACAGUGCCGAUGCUUGAAUAUGAGCAGGCUUGCAGAUAAUCAAAGCAUGGCUCGAGGUAGGAAUUUAAUGUCAGGAUCCCAGCCAGGGCUGGCAAGCCAUAUAUGUGCUAAUGUGGCAAUUUCAACCUUGGACUUAAGGUCAAGAUUGAUUUAGUGAAAAAUAUUAUUCUGCAAUGGAAUAGAUGCCUUCUGAAUUGGAUUGUGGGGGAUUCUGGAGGAUGGGUUAGUGUAGGGUGUAGAUAACCCAAAUGGCUGAAGUAAGAACAGCUUUAAGGCAGAGUGCAAUGAGACACAAUAUUUUUUUCUUAUAUGUAGGAAAAAAAAAAUCCUUUGUUGGCAGGCUGCAUAUAUUUUGACAAUUUUGAGAAGUAACACUGUUGGUUUUUUUUUAAAAACUUUUUAUUAUAGAAAAUGUCAAAUAUUCCCUAACCUACCUGUAGUUCAACUUCUAACUUUUAUUUUUGACUUUAUGAUACUAUGAAAACAAUACACACCAUCGGAAACCAUGCUUGGGAAUUGGAACUCAGAUCCUUUCCCUGGCCAUCUCUGUGCUGUCUAGUCCUUCGGGCAGCCCCCAUGGGUCCCAGUUCACUUACAAACCACAAGGAGACCAUCAAGGCCCCGCAGCAUGGACCUGGACAGUGGGGUAGGGAGAUGAAUCCAGCACAUUGGCAACUUGACAAUAUGGCCAAUUUAAGGUAGUUUUAGCAGGGUCAUCAUGAGUCGAGGAGCAGUUAUACUGAGUUAGAGAUAGCGUUACUAAAGUUAUUGACUUCCCCUCUAAGGAGCCAGAGAGUUAAGUUUAGGUUUCUCAUGCCCCUGUCUCCGUGAUUCAAUUCUGCUGUCCCAGCAGAUAAAUAUCUACAGACAGGACCAACAGGAACAAACAGGGAUCCAUUCUAGGGAGACGCUGCCACUGGAGUUCUAUGUGAUCUUUACAUGCUAGCUAGGCAGUAUUAUUGUGAUGGUUAUUCUUGGUUGUCAACUUGGCUACAUCUGGAAUUAACUAAAUCCCAAGCAGCUAUACCUGUGAGGGAUUUUUUCUUAAUUAAAUCAUUUGAAGUGGGAAGACCCACUUUUCAUCCAAGUCUUCUGAGGCUUGAAGAGCCACCUUCAGUCUGGGCCACACCUCCUGCUGGCAGCCUAUAUAAAGGACAUGGAAGAAGGAAGCUUGUUCUCUUUGCCUGCUUCUCUCGCUCUUGCUAGCAAGUCCGUUCCUUCACGGGCCUUAGAGCCGACUCCUUCCGGAUUCCAGUGUGUACUGAAGACCGGCCGAGACAUGCAGCCUCAUAGACUGAACAGCUCCUAGAUUCAUGGACCUUCCUUUGGUAGACAGCCAUUGUUGGACUAGCUGGACCACAGCCUGUAAGCCACUCCAUGCUGUGCUGGACCAUUGUCACGGGCUGAAGGAGGAACAUCACGGCCCCGUAGGCUCAGACGCUGGAACACUUGGUCCUCGGGUGGCGCUGUAUGGGAAGCUGGUGUGGCUCUGAUGGAGGAAGUAGGUGGGGGCUCUGAGAGUUCAUAGCCUCAGCUCACUUCUAGUGUGCCGUCUCCUGUGGUCACGCUUGAGGGUGUGAGCUCCAAGCUUGCUGCCCCUGCCCCCAUCCGGCUAUAAGCUGCCCAGCCUCCCGCCAUGAUGGACUCCUAUCCUCUGGAACUGCAAGUCCAAAUAAAGCCUCUCGCCCGGGGGGCCUUAGGCCAUGGUGUUUUGUCACAGCAACAGAAAAGUAACUAAUACAUUGGCCUGGAAGAUGAGACCCUGAAGACUUGAUCCUUACAUUUGGUCCCCUUAAGGGUUUUUCCUAAAACAUCAUGUCCUUUGUCUUGGCGACAUAGUCCUCAAGGUUCUGAGGGUGCUGGUAAAUGGAAAUCCAGAUCUCUGCUCGGAGAUCAAAUAUAUCCUGGACUUGCCUGAAAGGGGUCAGAAAAAUUAAGUGAGAUAAAUGGGCAGAGAGGUUGGAGCAAAUGUCUUUGAUUUGUGCAAGAGAGCCAUAAAAAUAAAAUCUCUGGGGCCAUUUCAUCUUACAUCAGAAACCAAGCUUACCUCCCACUAUACAGGGUCAGCAUGGUGUCUCUCUCAAAUGUUCAAGAAAGGGGGUGAAGGCCUGGGCACAUGAAAGCAUAUCUGACUGAACCUGCCGUAAAUGGCUUUCAGAACACUGGAACCUGGUGUUAUGGGUAUGCCCGAACAAAGCCUUGUCCCUCACGUGUCCCAUCUGUGGGACACUAGUCCCAACUGGAGCCGUUACAGUGAGGAUUGCCUUGCACAGAACAACCAAUGAGUUUGGAUAUAACAUGGUGAGCUCCAUUGAAGCUCUGUGACUUGUCAAUCCCACAUUCCAGAAGCCCAAGGCUUGUUUUUUUUUCCUCCUUGGGCUAGCUGGUCCAUGUGGGUGACACCGACGACGACAUUGAUGAAUUUCACAUUUGAGUCUGUAGCCCAUGCUCCCCUCUGCAUGUCCCCCAAAGGCCUGCUCAACAUUGCACUUGAAUAGCUCACUGAUUUGCUUCUGGCCAAAGGCCCCCGCCUUCAAGAACUCAACUCAAGCCCCAAAUGUAGCAGUCCCAACACCACGCCUUCCCUCUGCCAUAAACCCCCUCACUCCCACACCUGUUUUUCCAUUUCUGAUGUCGUCUCUGUAUCCAUCCUCUUAUUCCCGACAGCUCCCCCGCAUGCCAAGCUCACACCCCAUCCUCUCAUGCUAAAUUAGCUUCCUCAGUGUCCUCCCCGCCUCCCUCUGCAUUUGGACCUGGAGCUCAGCCUGGCUUGUGAUUGCAUCCGUGUGGAUGCCAUCAUUCCGUUCCCUUUUGUGGCUCACGGACUAGUCAUGUGACCAGAGACUGCUGUGUGGGACACACAGCACAGUAGGUACUGGAGGGCGAAUGAAUCACUUGGCUCACCUACCGAGAGAAUCUUCAGUGUUCGCAGAAUGAUUUAAAACAGGAAGCUCUGGGGACCAAAAGGAGAGCAUUUGACACCAUGAAGCAUUCUGAGAACACCUCCAAAUGUUCCAAGAUAUACCGAGCAGGGAGACGUGGUCCAAGAUGGACAUUGUCAGUUUGGUGCACAGCUCUGUGUCUUUGCCUGCAGGAUCAUGACUGAUGUAGCAGGUCCGUGAGUAUAAGCAGCCAUGGUGUGUUCCUGACUCACCUCCAACACCUGCCAGUUUUCACUGAAGUAAAUCCUGACUCCUACGGCUGUCAUCAAAAUGUGCUCUGAACCGGCAAUGACUUCAUGGCCCUGCUGAGAUGGAGUCCUCAAGACGGGGCUUUCUAAAGCCUGCAUAGGUGACACUCUCCCCUGCUCAGUGUGGCUGGGAUUCCAUGGCGAUCGCAGGGCUGGUUAUUUGUUAAAAUGAUUUAGGCACAAAUGUCAGAGGAGAAGUUGGUGUCAUCAAAUUAAAAACGUCCUCUAAGCUGAGACUGAUGAAUGUGCUGAGUUCUGCUCCCAGCCAUUCGGAACGAACCCUGAAUGAAUAAUAAACCAGGCCACCAGUGA